rnacentral:rRNA from 1 species
AGUGAACGCUGGCGGUAGGCCUAACACAUGCAAGUCGAACGGCAGCACAGUAGAGCUUGCUCUUACGGGUGGCGAGUGGCGGACGGGUGAGGAAUACAUCGGAAUCUACUUUUUCGUGGGGGAUAACGUAGGGAAACUUACGCUAAUACCGCAUGCGACCUACGGGUGAAAGCCAGGGAUCUUCGGACCUUGCCCGGUUGAAUGAGCCGAUGUCGGAUUAGCUAGUUGGCGGGGUAAAGGCCCACCAAGGCGACGAUCCGUAGCUGGUCUGAGAGGAUGAUCAGCCACACUGGAACUGAGACACGGUCCAGACUCCUACGGGAGGCAGCAGUGGGGAAUAUUGGACAAUGGGCGCAAGCCUGAUCCAGCCAUACCGCGUGGGUGAAGAAGGCCUUCGGGUUGUAAAGCCCUUUUGUUGGGAAAGAAAAGCAGCAGGUUAAUACCCCGCUGUUCUGACGGUACCCAAAGAAUAAGCACCGGCUAACUUCGUG